AGGAGGGACCUUGAUAAACUAGAGUUCAUCCACCAGAGGAGGAGGCUGCAGGCCUUGGGCACUGCUCAGCAGGAUGAGGGGCCACUGCAGUUGAGCAUGUCUAGCCUGGAGUCUUCUGAAGAACAUGAUUAUUGACUUUAUGUAUAGGAAUGGCUGCCAAUGAAGAAGAGAAUAUUGAAAGUCAGAAGCAUGCUAUCACAUAACUCUGCAUUUCAUCGGGCCGAGAAAGCACAGGUUUUCAGGACCACAGUUCCCAUUUCUCCUGUUCUGCAGUCCUCGUCUGAUUGGCCAACACUAUGGGCACUCCCUGCUCUGGUGGCCACUGGCAGUGGGCCAGGGUGAGGGCAGCUCACAGCCCGUCUCCUCUCUGUUACCUUGGGACGUCACUCAGCAGUUGCAUCACCGGCUGCUCUCUCCCUCUGAAACAUGAAGCCCUUCCUUUCUUAUUCCACCUUAGGGAAGCCUGGGCCUGCGACAGACCAGAAGACCUCACAUUCCACAGAGAAGACCUCGGUUUCCCCCCAAGCUCUGUCCAGUAUGGAGUGACAAAUCGCUGUACUUAUGAGACAAAGGCAUGAAGUCCAGGUCAAGGCAUGACUUUUCGGCAGCAACUUUUCUAGAUGUGAGGUAUCAGUAAACAUUUAUGGUGCUUCUGUUAUGGAUACAAUACAAGGAUGUAAAAGAAAAUAAGUAUGAGGCUCAUCCUCCUGGGAACUCACAUUUUCACUGGGGCUACAAGACCCCCGGAGCAAAUGCCAGGCACAAGAUCGGGGAUAAAAGCCUAACUUUGAGAAGCUUGCUUUGGCUAAAACCGAAAUCAAUUAUGAAGCAAAGGAAGUGGAUUAGAGGGAGAUCUUAUGAAAUCCCAUCAGAUUUGGAUCAUGCUACUGAGUUUUUUUCUUCCUGGCUGUAUUUUAGGUUUUCUCUCCCACUGAAACUGAUUAAUCGUUGUCAAAAUUCCUCCCUUGUACCCUUCUCUCUAUGGGAGGGCUGUCCCUUGGCUGGCCUGGGAUGCAGGAAUAGCUUUUGUGCACCCUUUGGUGUCCACUUCUGUGUGUCUCUCUUGGUGGCACUGCUUCCCUAUCUCUGCUUGCUCUGACCACCUUCAGGCUCCUAGGACCCUACCCUCUCAAAUUUCCUCCUCCCCUGCGUCCCCCUUUCCCAUUCAAAGCCCACAGCACAUCUCAGUUAGUGCUAUGGAAAAAACUAGCCUCAGAAACGAAUAUUCACUGACAUGUCAAGGUCUAGUAGUUUGUAGAGCCAUUUUAUUGGAAGGGACUUCAGAAAGGAAUUAGUUUACCUACUCAUCAGGUGAGGAGACCCACAGAGGGGAAGUCACCUGCCUGACUCCCAGAGACAGAAACAGUGCUGGGACUAAAACCCAAGAAGGGUCCUGACUCCCAAGUCCCAGGAACUUAAUUUUCCCCCAGGGAAUGGCCCACCACCCACCCAGAUGUAAAAACUAGAGACUCUGGGCAGCAUUCUAUCUCUAUGCCAGCCUCCAGUCUCCUGUCUAUUUUGCCUCCAAGAUACAUCUCUAAUUUGCCCACUUUUCUUGAACUUCACAUCACCGAUCUGGUACAAGCCAUCAUCAUCUCCUUGCUUGGGCCUACCAAGACACUAAUCACUGUUCUUUUUGUUUUGUUUUGUUUGUUUUUGAGACAGAGUCUCAUUCUUAUCACCCAGGCUGGAGUACAGUGGCAUGAUCUCAGCUCACUGCAACCUCUGCCUCCCAUGUUCAAGCGAUUCUCCUGCCUCAGCCUCCCAAGAAGCUGGGAUUAUUGGCAUGCGCCACCACACCAGGCUAACUUCAUAUUUUUAGUAGAGAUGGGGUUUCACCCUGUUGGCCAGGCUGGUCUUGAACUCCUGACCUCAGGUGAUCCACCUGCCUCGGCCUCCCGAAGUGCUGGCAUUACAGGCAUGAACCACCAUGGCAGGCUGACUUUCAUUCUUUCUCUAGUAUUAUUAGAAUAUUCCCAAAUAAUAUUCCAUUGUGUAUAUAUUCCACAUUUUGCUCAUUGGUUUCUCAUGGUCCGAUCUGAGCUUUGGGUAGAUCUGGCUAUAGGCAGAUAAUCCCUGAGACAUACUGCUAAAUGGGAACAGCAGAUGCAGAACAGUGUGUAUGAUACGCUACCACUUCUGCUGGAAAACGUCAAACAGGCACGUGUGCAUACAUAUGUACGUGGACUUGGAAAGGCAUAGACCGUCUUUGAGAAUACUCAAGAAGUGGUUAUCUUGGGUAGGAGAGCUGGUGGCGGGGGACAGAAAUGGAAAGGAGACUUAUUUUUCACUGGAUAUGCUUUUGUACAUUUUAUGGCUUAUUAAUAAUGAUUUUAUAAUUAUAUUACCAUGAUCAAAUAAAACCCUUGGUGAAUCUUCAA
ensembl:lncRNA LINC01634 long intergenic non-protein coding RNA 1634